rnacentral:sRNA from 1 species
AAGCAAAAGCAAAAACAAACCAGAACUCAGGCCAGGAAACUUAUCGAACAAUGGCCAGGAGCAGCUGGAGGGACUGGUCCAUUUACAUGAUAGGGUAGACUGCAGAGAAUUCAAGAUAUGCCAUUUUAAAACAAAUAUUAGCAGCCGAGGGGUUUUUAAGUUGCAGUGAAACAAAGGACCAACUAUACAGUUACAGUAAAACAAUAGCGCCCAGCCCCCACCCCCCCAUCAGUAAGAGUCCGGUUCUCUCAGAACAAUGAACCACUUGCAUAGGUCUGAAGAUGCCUGUAAAGAGAGCGGGCUAGGGGAGCCUGGGAAUAUGGAGGGACAUAGGGGGAGGGGUAAGGCAAAGGCUGUUUACUAGGUACUGACAGGAAGCCAGUGGAGGAAUAGCUUCUCCUGUCAUGGUGUACUAACAAGAUGCCUCUGAGUGACCGUGACAGUCUUUCAAAAUGGCUAGAACAGAGAGGCUAUUGAACGCUCCCCAAGACAAAGCAGUCAUGAAUAGCUGGGGAGUCAGAUAUGCCAACUACUCUGUUCUGAUCACGACACAUACAGGACUGCUUGCCCUUACCCCAUGUCAACUGAACAUUAAAAAAAGAAAAAGAAAAUUGCUCCUUGGGUUCUAGCUUUGGAAAUAAAAAAAAAAAAAUCCCUUCACGAUGACACACGCCUUUAAUCACCACAUGAGUUUCAAGCUAGAGACGGUAUACAUAGAGGUUUCAGACCAGACAUGAUUACAGCGAAAACCUAUGGAUAAAUGCAUCCUGUAGAUCAAUCCGGGAGAAGGAAGACACUCAGGAAUGACAGAAAGAUGACCACAGCUCCAAAAUCCCACUGGGUAAAAGCAAGCUACCAUCCUGUGCAGUUCAGCUACUAAUGCUGACUUAUGGGCUUCCCAGUAAAAAGCUCAUUAAGUAUGGCCAAUGUCUGCCUCCUCUGGGUUGCCAAGAGGCAGAAGACACCGCCAUCAUCAUCACCACUACCACCACCAUCAUCAUCACCACCACCACCACCACCAUCGCCUACACAAUACUCCUGAGCUUUGAAGAGGAAAUGCUCGAGCUGGGUAGGAGUGGUGACUGUUAGGAAUUGUAGAGCUAACUAGUCCUCACGCCCUUAUUUCCGAGUUGACAGGUUGACUUCAACAGUUUCUAACUCAUAAUCUCUGGUUUUACGGAUAAUACAGAACUCCGUAUUCCUAAAGAAUCCCCUUUUUUAGGGAUACACUUACAGCAUCGCUUUUAAAAACAAUUGGGAAAGAUAUUUCGUCAUGAGUUCACCAUUUGAUCCUUUCUUCCGGAGGCAAGGGUCAGAUUAGUCUCACCCUGAUGGACCAUACAUGCAGACCAAGGACACAGUUUCAGCUCAGUGACCAAGAAAGAUAUACAUGGAGCAUAAUAGUCCAACCUUAUAUUUCUGCAUCAGUAGACAGAGGGAUGACCACACAGUGAAGGCUGACAGUGACUAUGAAUGCAAAUUAUAAAAGACUAAACUGAACCAAGACCACAUAGCCCCAGACUUUAUUAAACAAUAAGCCCAAAUCAGAGAAUAUAUUUUUAGGUAAUAUAUAAUAUGAAACCUAUACGUGUGAAUGCAAAGGAUUACUUCCUUGCCUGUUACGCCUAUGUGAAAAAGCAGACGAGCUAUUUUAGUCGACUCUAACUUCCUGUGCUGUACUGAAGGUCACUUUUCUGAUCCAAAUGAACAGUUCUGUUUUCUAAAAACAUCCAGUAAUGACUGUGAGGAAUCCGAGAAGUCCACUUUCUCUUACUUGCUCAGAAUGUUUUCAGAAGGAACUGGUUUUUAAAAGACAGACACAAGUAUGGUCUGAACCCAACCUCGAGGUUAGGUUUAGAGGCAGGAAGUACAAGUAUCCAGGUUCCAAAUAAAGCUAAUCAGAAGAUGGGGCCCCUGAGGGCUGUUAUCCUCUGAACCUGUAUGGCUUAUUAACCUGGCACGGGCGUGGGAUGGGGGAGAAACCACUGCCUAGACCUCAGCAGGGCACACUCCGGAGUCAGCUGUGUUUCAAAUGACGUGGGCAGGUGUGGGAGUCCCAGGUAUCAAACGAAGAAAAAAAAAAAAAA